UACAGAGGGUGCUAGCGUUGUUCGGAAUCAUUGGGCGUAAAGGGCGUGUAGGCGGUUUGCUAAGUCAUGUGUGAAAUCCCUCAGCUUAACUGGGGAACUGCGUCUGAUACUGGAUGGCUUGGAUUCGGGAGAGGAAUGCGGAAUUCCAGGUGUAGCGGUGAAAUGCGUAGAUAUCUGGAGGAACACCGGUGGCGAAGGCGGCAUUCUGGACCGACAUUGACGCUGAGGAGCGAAAGCCAGGGGAGCAAACGGG
rnacentral:rRNA from 1 species